UACGGAGGGUGCAAGCGUUAAUCGGAAUUACUGGGCGUAAAGCGCGCGUAGGCGGUUUGGUAAGUCGGAUGUGAAAGCCCCGGGCUCAACCUGGGAAUUGCAUUCGAUACUGCCGGGCUAGAGUAUGGUAGAGGGAAGUGGAAUUUCCGGUGUAGCGGUGAAAUGCGUAGAUAUCGGAAGGAACACCAGUGGCGAAGGCGACUUCCUGGGCCAAUACUGACGCUGAGGUGCGAAAGCGUGGGGAGCAAACAGG
rnacentral:rRNA from 1 species